UGCUUCAUUGCUUGAGUUUCCUUAUUCAUUCGAACAGAUUUUGAAGCAGACAACUUGUAAACUUGUUCCCAUGAAUUUUACUUAAAUUUAAAGUACUGUAAAUUCCAUAGUAAUUACUAAUAGAUAUAUUUAAAUCCAACACAAUAUACAGCAGUAAUACGUUGUCAUAAACGCUGGUAUUAAACUGAUGAUAGUAACGAUCGUUAUUUAACGAUCGUUACUAUCAUCCCAAGAUGGCGGAAGGAAAUUCCGGAAAGACCACAUUUACUUAUUAUAUCUAUUUGUAUUGCUUAUUUGCGAAUGGUAUGUAUUGGUCUAGAGGUAGAACGGUCACCCCGCAUGUGGAAGGUCUGGGUUCGAAUCCUGGCCGCAACAGACCUAAGUUGUUAAAACAGGUACUGGUAGUGACAGUUCCAUCGCCAAACGCUCAGCAUCGGGUGUGAAUGUCACAGGUCCUCAAAGAUGAUCUCCCACGUCACAGUAGGUGGGACACGCUAAAGAACCCUCACUGCUCAAUGGCCGUAAGCACCAAGCAUAGGCCUAAAUUUGAAGCCCUUCAGUGGUAUUGGUGAUGUCUCCAUACAAGUGAAAAAUUCUCAUGAGGGACUUUAAACAAUCAAUCAAUCAAUCGUACUAUAUAUAUAUAUAUAUAUAUAUCAAGAUUCAUACGCAUUGUUCACAUUUAUGAGGAAAUGGUUAUCAUUUCAAUUGGUAGACGUAUUGAAAGUAAAAAUACUGGAAAUGUAAAUAUUCAUUGAUGCUCUACAAUUUGUUCAUUUUUAAACUGUGGCAUGCUCAAUACUUUCAUAGGUGAACUUCUUGCAUGAAAAUAAAUCGGAUUUAACAACACA